ACCAGAAGCUGGCAGAGAUGCCGGGUGCCUUCGGGAGCUGGUGAGAAGGUGCUGCAUGGCUGUCGUCAGCUCGUGUCGUGAGAUGUUGGGUUAAGUCCCGCAACGAGCGCAACCCUUGUCAUUAGUUGCCAUCAUUUGGUUGGGCACUCUAAUGAGGCUGCCGGUGACAAACCGGAGGAAGGUGGGGAUGACGUCAAGUCCUCAUGGCCCUUAUGGGUAGGGCUUCACACGUCAUACAAUGGUCGGUACAGAGGGUUGCCAACCCGCGAGGGGGAGCUAAUCCCACAAAGCCGAUCGUAGUCCGGAUCGCAGUCUGCAACUCGACUGCGUGAAGUCGGAAUCGCUAGUAAUCGUGGAUCAGCAUGUCACGGUGAAUACGUUCCCGGGUCUU
rnacentral:rRNA from 1 species